AUCCCAGAUCGCUGGUGCUCCGACUUCUGCUCCUUCUCCCGCUCUGCACCCGGUAAUAAUAAUAAUGAUAAUUAUUAUUAUUAUAUUUAUGCGUUUACUAUGCGCCAGCCACCGUACUGAACCCUGGGCGGGAAUACAAGAAAAUCGGAUCGCUGCGCCUCCUACUUCUGCUCCUUCUCCUGCUCUACGCCCGAAAAGAAACGGAGCGACAUUUUAGGCUGACUGCCUGAAAAGGAGCCAGCGGUCGAAAGGGAUGCGGCAGGUAGACUGGUCCCCCCCUCACUGACCCAACUCCCUUCUAUCAUGUUCCACCAGUACUUUCAUUCAUUCAGUAGUAUUUAUUGAGCCCUGAUUAUAUGCAGAGCACUGUAUUAGCGUUGGGGAGAGUAUGAUAUAACAAUAAACAGACUCAUUCCCUGCCCACAAUGAGCUUACAGACUAGGGGGGAGACAGAUGUUAAUAUAAUGUACAGAUAUGUUCAUAAGUGCUGUGGGGUUGGGGGGGGGGGGUGAAUGAAGGGAGCAAGUCAGGGCAAUGCAGAAGGGACUGGGAGAAGAAGAAAAGAGGACUUAGUCAAGAAAGGCCUCUGUGGGAAAAACUUCCAGGAACUCUCAUUCCAGUGAGUUUUCCAAACACCCUUUUGCCACUAAGGGCAAAAUUGGCCACCGGCCUGUUUGUAAUAUUGAUUCUUCCCAGGCUGCUCCAACCCAGAGAACCAUGGGAUGGCUGGAAAUGGAUUUAAAAAAAAGACUUCACAAUAACAAUAAUCAUAAUAAUAACGGUACUUGCUAAGCACUUUGGGCUGUCCUAAGCACUGGGGUAGGUAUAAAUAAUCAGGUUGGACACAGUUCCUCUCCCACAUGGGGCUCAGACUCUUAAUCCCCAUUUUAAGGAUGAGGUAACAGGCACAGAGAAGUUUAGUGACUUCCCCAAGGUCACACAGCAGACAAGUGCCGGGUUUAGAACCCAGGUCCUUUGGACUCCCAAGUCCAUGCUCUAUCCACUGGGUCAUGCUCCUUCUCUGCAACUUUGCCACCAAGUUGUAAAAUUCAUUCUUCCCAGACUGCUCCGACCUUAGUUGGAAAUAGAUUAAAAAAAAAAAAAAAGACACCAUGGCCUGAAAUGGCCACUCCUGAUUGGCUUUUGUACCUUUCCAAGAUGGAAGCGCAGAAGCAGAGUGCCUACCUUUUGAUUCUACUGACCCAAACCCUCUUUAACUGACACCACAGAGGGAGGUUUGGGUCAAAGGUCACAAUCUUUUUGAACCACAGUGGCUUGUCAUCCCCCGCAGAUGUCCUCCUUUUGAGAGCCAGCCCUUGGAGUGUUGGGAAAGCUGCAGCUGAGC
rnacentral:lncRNA from 1 species